UUUAUAAUCUGGCACCUUCGGUGUCCGAGUUGUAAUCUCUAGAAAUGUUUUCCGCGUUGGACCGCACACAAGUCUGUUGGAAUACAGCGGCAUAGUGGUGAGACCCCCGUAUAUGGUGCGGACGCCCAGCGCUUUGUGAUACAUUUUCGAAGAGUCGAGUUGUUUGGGAAUGCAGCUCAAAUUGGGUGGUAAAUUCCAUCUAAAGCUAAAUAUUGGCGAGAGACCGAUAGCGAACAAGUACCGUGAGGGAAAGAUGAAAAGCACUUUGGAAAGAGAGUUAACAGUACGUGAAAUUGUUGGAAGGGAAACGCUUGAAGUCAGACUUGCUUGCUGAGCAAUCGGUUUGCAGGCCAGCAUCAGUUUUCCGGGAUGGAUAAUGGUAGAGAGAAGGUAGCAGUUUCGGCUGUGUUAUAGCUCUCUGCUGGAUACAUCUUGGGGGACUGAGGAACGCAGUGUGCCUUUGGCGGGGGUUUCGACCUCUUCACACUUAGGAUGCUGGUGGAAUGGCUUUAAACGACCCGUCUUGAAACACGGACCA
rnacentral:rRNA from 1 species